GUGCCAGCCGCCGCGGUAAUACGGAAGGUCCGGGCGUUAUCCGGAUUUAUUGGGUUUAAAGGGAGCGCAGGCUGAUGAUUAAGCGUGACGUGAAAUGUAGCCGCUCAACGGCUGAGUUGCGUCGCGAACUGGUUAUCUUGAGUGAGUACGACGUCGGCGGAAUUCGUGGUGUAGCGGUGAAAUGCUUAGAUAUCACGAAGAACCCCGAUUGCGAAGGCAGCUGACGAGUCCUUAACUGACGCUAAAGCUCGAAGGUGCGGGUAUCGAACAGGAUUAGAUACCCUGGUAGUCCGCACGGUAAACGAUGGAUGCCCGCUGUUGGCGAUAUACCGCCAGUGGCCAAGCGAAAGCGUUAAGCAUCCCACCUGGGGAGUACGCCGGCAACGGUGAAACUCAAAGGAAUUGACGGGGGCCCGCACAAGCGGAGGAACAUGUGGUUUAAUUCGAUGAUACGCGAGGAACCUUACCCGGGCUUGAACUGCAGCAGAACGAUCCAGAGAUGGUGAGGCCCUUCGGGGCUGCUGUGGAGGUGCUGCAUGGUUGUCGUCAGCUCGUGCCGUGAGGUGUCGGCUUAAGUGCCAUAACGAGCGCAACCCCUUUCGCCAGUUGCCAUCAGGUGAUGCUGGGCACUCCGGCGACACUGCCACCGUAAGGUGUGAGGAAGGUGGGGAUGACGUCAAAUCAGCACGGCCCUUACGUCCGGGGCUACACACGUGUUACAAUGGGGAGUACAGAGAGUCAGGUGCCGGCAACGUCGCCUCAAUCAUGAAAGCUCUCCUCAGUUCGGAUUGGGGUCUGCAACCCGACCCCAUGAAGCUGGAUUCGCUAGUAAUCGCGCAUCAGCCAUGGCGCGGUGAAUACGUUCCCGGGCCUUGUACACACCGCCCGU
rnacentral:rRNA from 1 species